CUAAUCUCUCACUCUCACUCUGGGAGAGAGAGACCUUGUUGAGAGAGCUGCUGCUGCUGCUGGAUAUUCAAUGUAUCUGGAUAAUCUGGUCGAAUUUAGGAGCUCAUAUUGCCACCAAGGAUGGGACCGUUCUAAAUUAAGCGAGUUAUAUGCGUCCCCGAGAAAAGUGGUGAUGAGGUCAAGGGCGACAAAUUGCUAAGAGUGCGAACUGUUGAUUGUGCAAACGUUUGUCAAGUAUCCUUCCCUGUGGCCAAGUUAGGUUUCUAAAGUCAUCAACAGGCUGCAUGUGAUAAAUUUAUUUUCUUUACGGUUUAUCCAGGUCUAAAUCCGGAGCGUAAAUCACCCAUGGCUCCAUUUUCCCACAAUUCGUCGUCCACCAACAAGCUCUGGAUAGAAAUUCGGUCCUUUGUGUUGACGACCAUGCAGCUACCCGGUUUGUGGCUCAGCUCGCAGCCAACUUUCUCCACCAUACAUCGCACUCAAAAGGACCAUCUCUCUGCGCGGUUAAGCUAGCGUCGUCGUGAAGUGAAAAUAUCGUUCUACUGCUGCGAAUGUCAUAAAUUAUAAUAAGCAAUCUGGGCGCAGUGUGUCUGUCGGAGGAUGACGUGGGAAGAAUAUACAACCAGAGAUUAUCCAUCACACCACCGCAUUGCCACUCCAGCCGAGAGCUCGUGCCUUGCUUUUGUGGUAAGGACAAUUAAUUCGCGUCGACUGAGCAAACAAAAUAUGUCAGUGUCAUCCCAACCACUUUGUAUUAGUCUUCUUGUGGAUGCAAUAAAGGGAGUUUUCCAA